rnacentral:rRNA from 1 species
AUUGAACGCUGGCGGCAGGCCUAACACAUGCAAGUCGAGCGGAUGAAGGGAGCUUGCUCCUGGAUUCAGCGGCGGACGGGUGAGUAAUGCCUAGGAAUCUGCCUGGUAUUGGGGGAUAACGUCCGGAAACGGGCGCUAAUGCCGCAUACGUCCUGAGGGAGAAAGUGGGGGAUCUUCGGACCUCACGCUAUCAGAUGAGCCUAGGUCGGAUUAGCUAGUUGGUGGGGUAAAGGCCUACCAAGGCGACGAUCCGUAACUGGUCUGAGAGGAUGAUCAGUCACACUGGAACUGAGACACGGUCCAGACUCCUACGGGAGGCAGCAGUGGGGAAUAUUGGACAAUGGGCGAAAGCCUGAUCCAGCCAUGCCGCGUGUGUGAAGAAGGUCUUCGGAUUGUAAAGCACUUUAAGUUGGGAGGAAGGGCAGUAAGUUAAUACCUUGCUGUUUUGACGUUACCAACAGAAUAAGCACCGGCUAACUUCGUG